rnacentral:rRNA from 1 species
GUCCUUAGUUACCAGCACGUUAUGGUGGGCGACUCUAAGGAGACUGCCGGUGACAACCGAGGAAGGUGGGGAUGACGUCAAGUCAUCAUGGCCCUUACGGCCUGGGCUACACACGUGCUACAAUGGUCGGUACAAAGGGUUGCCAAGCCGCGAGGUGGAGCUAAUCCCAUAAAACCGAUCGUAGUCCGGAUCGCAGUCUGCAACUCGACUGCGUGAAGUCGGAAUCGCUAGUAAUCGUGAAUCAGAAUGUCACGGUGAAUACGUUCCCGGGCCUU